ACCUCACUCUGAGCACUAAUGCCAUCAUCACUUCUUAUGUUUCAGCAUCACCCUCACAAUGACUAGCUGCACCUUAGACUGGAGUAGAUGUUGAUCACAUGAUUUCUCAUCCUCACCUUUAACUGUUCCUCAUGUUAUUUUGUGCUGAAGGUAGUAACUUUUUGAACAUCAUUCAUUUUCCACAUCUGUCUUAAUCAAUACAUAAUGAUGAUUUUAAUGUUUUAAUUUCUCAAAUCAGUUACUGUUGUUCAUGUUUUCCCUGAAGCCUUUUUUCACAGUACUUUUGACAGCUAAUCUCCAUGCCUGCACUAUCAGUCCCUGUUACUGCCAAGAUAAGAACUAGUAAACAACAUUCAUUCAGGACUUUCCCUCAGGGGGGCAUAAAAUGACUCAGCAGAUUAAAACACUUACAGUAAAGUGAAGUUUUGAGUAUUUUGAAAUAUUCUCCAAGGAGUCUGUGAGGAGAAAAACUGAGGAGUCAUCUCAACAUCCUGUUACUAAAAGAAAAAAAACUCCCCGUUUGCUGCCAUAGUGGGGGAAGCUUGAAAGCACAUGAUUUGGAGUCACCUUAGAGCAUGCCUGGUUGAGCAUCAGCACUGCUGAUCUCUGCCUCUUAGUGCUUAGUUUACAUGUGGCUCGGUAGCUUGUGGCCAGUCCACAUGUACAGUACUGGAAUCCUGCUGAAGCAAUAUGUCUUUAUUUUCUAAAAUAAGCAUGAAUUUAGAAGUGAUGCAAAAGCAAUCCAAAGGGGCCAGAUUUUUUAAAAUUUUAAAAUUUUAUUUUUUUAAUGAGUGCGGUUGGGAUUAGAUUAGAUUAGUUUCUCUUAGUCCCGAAUAGUGUUGGAACUCAUUUAAGCCUGUGAUCAGUAUUUAACAUUUACCAACGAUGAUGACCGCUAUUGCAGUGAACAGCAUAAAAAUUCUGUAGAAACUGCUUGUAAAUACACUAGAACCCACUCUUGAAACCAGUAGCUCUGUUACCUAGAAAACACUUGCAACACCUUGGUAGCCAUUUCGUAACAAAUCUACGUGCAUUAUAUUGUGCAAACAAGUUCCUUUAACAUCUUCAAACAGGCACAUUCAAACAGAUGACAUUUAUCUGGCCAUGUUGCUGUGCAGCAUGGAAGACCAAAUAUGGAGGCCAGAAACUUUCAAGACCAGAAUGAAUGAAGAAAUAAAU